CCAAGUUGCUAAGAGGAAAAGAGAGAGAGGGAGAGAGAGAGAGGAGUUCGGCCACUUCAUGGUGAAGAGGGAGGGGAGAUUUUGGCUCUCAUGAAACCAAGAUCCAUCCAUGGAAGGAAGAAAGAAGGAGGAGAAAGGAAAUCAAGCUAAGGUAUAAAAAAAAAAAAAAAAUUCUACUUGUGUAAGCUAAUUUCCUAGGUAGUUUGAUUUGAUUUUUGACAACUUGAAGUUGUGAUCUUGAGGUUUAAAACCUUAGAUCUAUGUAUAUAUAAGUGUUUCAUGUUUAGAUCUAACAAUAUUGGGUGUUGAUUUUGGUUGGAAUCAAA
rnacentral:lncRNA from 1 species